rnacentral:rRNA from 1 species
CGCCUUGCCAGCCCGCUCAGAAACUUAAAGGAAUUGACGGGGCCCGCACAAGCGGAGGAGCAUGUGGUUUAAUUCGAUGAUACGCGGGGAACUUACCUGGGCUCGAACGUAAGAUGACUGUAGGUGAAAGCUUACAUCUCUUCGGAGCAUUUUACGAGGUGCUGCAUGGUUGUCGUCAGCUCGUGCCGUGAGGUGUCGGGUUAAGUCCCAUAACGAGCGCAACCCCUACCUUUAGUUGCCAUCAGGUUAAGCUGGGGACUCUAAAGGAACUGCCUACGCAAGUAGUGAGGAAGGCGGGGAUGACGUCAAAUCAGCACGGCCCUUACGUCCAGGGCUACACACGUGCUACAAUGGCCGAUACAGAGGGCAGCUACCUGGUGACAGGAUGCAAAUCUCCAAAGUCGGUCUCAGUUCGGAUCGGAGUCUGCAACCCGACUCCGUGAAGUUGGAUUCGCUAGUAAUCGCGCAUCAGCCAUGGCGCGGUGAAUACGUUCCCGGGCCUU